ACAGAGAAGAACAAGUGCCGCACAAUCGUGUUUGAAAGGCUAUACAUGAUUGUGAUACCUUACACAUCUAGGGCCUGUUUGGAGUGGAUUAGGAUUAUUCUAUUCCCCAACAACACUGUUUCACUUCUCCCCAACUUGUUUCCAACUCUGCGCCGUUCUCCUCCUCUCUCAUUUCCAACACCAUGCCGUACUUCUCCCCUCUCCUUUCCAACUCCACGCGGUACUUCGCCUCUCUCCUUCGUACUCCACCUCGGCGAGCAUCAAACGAAGUCCACCUCUAUCUCCUUUGUACUCCACUUCUCUCUGUUGUACUCCACUCCUUCGUAUUCGGACUCCACAUUGUCCUCCACAUCGUACUCCACUCCUUCGUACUCCACAUCGUACGACACCGAUUGGCCCUAGCAACUUCAAAACUCCGAUUGGGUUUCUUUUCUACAGUUUUUCUUUUUUUAAUAAGACUUUUCCUUCUUGCGUCUCACGCCUCACAACCUCUCAUUUUUCCUUCCUUUUCCUUUGCUCGCAGUUUCCUCCUCACGCUAACCUUUUUCCGUUCAUCCUCUCGCAAAUUCACAUAGUUGGGUUUCACCACCAUCAGAUUUACAUAGUUGGGUUUCACCACCGCCAGAUUCACGUGGUUGGGUUUCUUUGUUGUUUUGUAAUUUUUUGUUGCAACGUGUGGGGUUGUUUUUUUUUUUUCUUUUUUCUAAUUUCCUCUAAGUAAUGCUUUGUUGUAAUGUGUGGAGUGUGGACUGCCUCUCCACAAUGUUUUGUUUCUUGUUUUUUCGUUUUCAAUAAUUUGACAAGUUUUAGAGUUUGGAUUUUUUUCAAUGGAGAGGAAUGAAUGAGGGAAAAAGAAAACUGAGAGGUUGGGCGUGAGAGACAAGAAGGAAAUUUUUUAUUAAAGAAAUUAGGAGAAAAUGUUUUCUACAGUUUUUUUUUUUUUUUUUUUUUAUAUAGUUUGGUUGAUGAUCACAUUUUUAUAAUGUUAUGACUUAUUUUAAAAAAAUUAUAUUUGAAUGUCACUAUUAGUAAUGCUAAGAUCAAGCCUCAAAUAGAAAAUAAAUUAAAAAUUGAGUUUGAUUUUUAGAACGAGGCGUUUGAAUAGAAAAAUAAAAAAUAAAAGAACGCUAAACUCUAUGGUUAGUUAGGAAGUUAAUGUUCUGUACUAAAAAAGAUUCAAAUUAGUUUACUUGCUUAAGUUAAAAGAAAUUUUCUUGUUUUGGUAUAAUAUUUUUCUAUACCAUUUUAAGUGUGGUCAAGAUUAAAAAAAUGAAAUCUAAUUAAUAUAACUAACAAAGGUCAAAUGUCAUUUUAGAGUAUUAAUAAUUUAUACAUGAAACAAAGAAAAUGUGUGUUUGUGGUCCUGUUACUUACUUCUGCUGAACUGCAUUUGAAUAUGUAUUAAAAUGUAAUUAUUUGAGAAUAGUACUAAAAUAAAUAAAUUGUGCUUUGAUAAAUUUUAUUUGGCUUGUAUCUUCCAGUUUUCUUCAAUCUCAUGAAUGAUUGCAAUGAAGUCAUUCUUCAAUUUGAUGACCGUAGACUUCCAAAGAAUGAAUUUAAUGCGUUAAAGUACUAUUUAUUCCAAACGAUAGAAUUUGCUUCCAAAUACAUAUUUAUACAAAGCUUUGGUUCUAACUUCUAAUUAGGCCCAUAUCAGCAUAAAGGAGUUUUUAUUUUGGUUUCCAUACAACAUUGUUUUGGCCCUUCUAGACCCUGUAAAAGGUUAAAUGACUAAUGUUUUUCUUCUUCACUUGUUGGUGUUUGAGUACUAACAAGUUUUUGAGGCCUGCGGAAGAAGAGCGUCACUACACCCCUAGAGUCUGUGGUUCAAGGGGAGGAUGUGGUGGCAGCUCGAUGAGCAAUGUUCCAACCCCAUCCAUUGAAGACCCUGGGCAGUUCCCGACCUUAGGUUUAUUCGGUGGUACCCUUCAUUGACAAGACCAUAACUCAAUCAGAAAUGAGAUCAGGCUAAAUGUGGUUAUUAGUUCGAAAUUUGAUCUUCAGUCACCGAAACAAUAAGUAGAGAUUAUAUAUCUCAUGCUCCACUCUUAUACAAACGCAUGCUUUGUAUACUUCUAUUCACGUGUUUCUAUGUGAAUGUCUAGAAUCAAAUCGUUUAUAACGAUUAUGAAGUGGGUCGUAUCCAUAGACGAAUUUAUUAAGGGGUCAACGAAGGUUGUAAUGUUGGGAUUGUAUUUCCACUCCUGCAUUUAUAUUUUUUGAUAUUUAAACUUUUUUAGCUGUGUUUAUUAUAUAGUGCUUCCACUGUAUAAAAUAUCUGGAUCCGC